GACGAACGCUGGCGGCGUGCCUAACACAUGCAAGUCGAACGGAAAGGCCCUGAUUUUGUGGGGUGCUCGAGUGGCGAACGGGUGAGUAACACGUGAGUAACCUGCCCUUGUCUUUGGGAUAACUCCAGGAAACUGGGGCUAAUACCCGAUAGGAGCUCCUGCUGCAUGGUGGGGGUUGGAAAGUUUCGGCGGUUGGGGAUGGUCUCGAGGCUUAUCAGCUUGUUGGUGGGGUAGUGGCUUACCAAGGUUUUGACGGGUAGCCGGCAUGAGAGGGUGACCGGCCACAUUGGGACUGAGAUACGGCCCAGACUGCUACGGGAGGCAGCAGUGGGGAAUAUUGCACAAUGGGCGGAAGCCUGAUGCAGCAACGCCGCGUGCGGAAUGACGGCCUUCGGGUUGUAAACCGCUUUCGCCUGUGACGAAGCGUGAGUGACGGUAAUGGGUAAAGAAGCACCGGCUAACUACGUG
rnacentral:rRNA from 1 species